CUUCGCCUUCCCCGCCUCUCUUGUUUUUGCUCCUGAGGACAGGGUGGAUGGGCAUCAAUUUUGUGUUUCACGCAGAUCUGCAGAGAUCCAAGAGGGAGAUCAGUUGGCCAGUCACAUUUUAAUAACGUAAAAUAAAAAAGAUCUGAAUCUUGCUAAAUAGAAGACCUUGCAUAAGGAGCUCUUCGGGAGUCUGAAGAGGGCCAGCGACUCCUCUCCCAACCCGCCACCUGGAUUCCCAGCGCAGGCACCCCACCGCAACAAACUGAGUGAACAGCCGGAGCGCCGGAGCCACAUCCCUUGCUCUGCCAAACACAGACGACAAGCGAGGCCCCAGCAACAAAUCGUCCCCUAAGAUCCUGCCGCUGCCGCGCCGUCCGUUGCCCCGUCACCCCCCACUCCUAGGCACCGAUCUGACGUUACCUGCACCUUCCUACCGCGCGUCUGUUUCCAAACACUGCUCUCCAAAGUGAACCAGGAGAAUGUAUAUGCUUUCGUGGACAUUCAGUUCUGAUUUUUUUGGAGAUGUUGGGGUUGCAUUAAAAAAAUAAAAAUAAAAAUGUG